ACAGUUUACCUGGCGUAAAUAGGAAAGACGUUCUUCCUUACAGCAGAGUACCGGAUAACGAGGUAUUAAAUUUGUUUGAGGCCGAUUGUUUUUUAGUAUUUCUUUACUGAUUAUACUAAGUUAGCUUACAAUGCAACGUUGAGAAAGUAAACAAGUCUUACCGGGACCGGUGGCUGUAGGCAAUUGUUUUUCAACCGAAGUUCGAAGGUAUCACAAGCAUAGACUUAAAUUGAUUGCAGUUAUUACACACUUGGAUAUUUUUUAUUUUUUAUAUAUCAAGUUUUUAACUUUUUCUUGCAUUUUUUUUUAAUACUUGACUGUAAUUGCAAUAGGUGACCGCUUUGGUGAUGGACAAGAAGCUACUUCCAAACCCUGACCCGUUUUCGAGUCUUUUGUACGAUGUCUACAGAAAGUGUUGGGAAUGGGAUGCAGAAGACCGUCCGUCCAGUUCAAUCGUUCUUGAAUCACUGGCAAAAAGGUU